rnacentral:sRNA from 1 species
GCCGGGCGUAGUGGCGGGCGCCUGUAGUCCCAGUUACUCGGGAGGCUGAAGCAGGGGAAUUGCUUGAACCCAGGAGCUGGAGGUUGCAGUGAGCUGAGAUUGCGCCACUGCACUCUAGCCUGGGUGACAGAGCGAGACUCUGUCUCAA